rnacentral:rRNA from 1 species
GUGUCAGCAGCCGCGGUAAGACGAACCGUGCAAACGUUAUUCGGAAUCACUGGGCUUAAAGGGUGCGUAGGCGGCCCUGAAGGUUGGAUGUGAAAGCCAACGGCUUAACCGUUGAAUUGCGUCCAAAACCACAGGGCUCGAGGGAGACAGAGGUGAGCGGAACUCAAGGUGGAGCGGUGAAAUGCGUUGAUAUCUUGAGGAACACCGGAGGCGAAAGCGGCUCACUGGGUCUCUACUGACGCUGAGGCACGAAAGCCAGGGGAGCGAACGGGAUUAGAUACCCCCGUAGUCC